rnacentral:lncRNA from 1 species
AAAGUGCACUCAAUAGCUACCACUGCACUCAAUAGCUACCACUCACCCAUAGGCUUUACUAAAAUGAAAAAUACUCUUAAGUUUCCUGUCUCUGUUGUCACAUUAUUACCACCACUUAUAGCUUAUAAACCCAGUAUAGACUUAUAAGCAUAUUACUGUAACUCUUGUUCAAUACGAGGAUUUCAUCUCAUUUUGAGAUGUGCCUGACAUAUCAAACCACAGAGGAUCAUCUCUUAUCAUGUGCAGUGAUGCAAAGCCAACUGUUUGCACCAAGGUGUCAGCAUGACCAGCAUAGAAUCUCCCAGUAUAUUCUGAGUGGCUGGAGGAUAUCAGUACCAGGCAAGGCUCUGUGAGAAGGAUUUUUUUUUUAAUUGAAGUAUAAUUGCUUUAACAGUGUUAUAUUAGUUUCAGGUAUAUAGCAUAGUAAUUUGGGGGUAUUUUUUUUAACAGAUUACAUGUUGUUAUAGGUUAUUAUAAUAUAUUAAGUAUGAUUCCCUGUACUAUA